AGUCUGCAACCCGACUACAUGAAGCCGGAAUCGCUAGUAAUCGCGGAUCAGAAUGCCGCGGUGAAUACGUUCCCGGGUCUUGUACACACCGCCCGUCACACCAUGGGAGUCGGGAAUGCCCGAAGUCAGUGACCCAACCGAAAGGGGGGAGCUGCCGAAGGCAGGCCUGGUAACUGGGGUGAAGUCGUAACAAGGUAUC
rnacentral:rRNA from 1 species